rnacentral:rRNA from 1 species
GACGGGGAGGCACUACAACGGUGGAGCCUGCAGUUAAUUGGAUUCAACGCCGGAAAUCUCACCGGGGGCGACAGCAAUAUGAAGGUCAGGCUGAAGACCUUACCCGAUUAGCUGAGAGGUGGUGCAUGGCCGUCGUCAGUUCGUACUGUGAAGCAUCCUGUUAAGUCAGGCAACGAGCGAGACCCACGUCCACAGUUGCCAGCAUACCCUCCGGGGUGAUGGGUACACUGUGGAGACCGCCGCUGCUAAAGCGGAGGAAGGAGUGGGCAACGGUAGGUCAGUAUGCCCCGAAUCUCCCGGGCUACACGCGGGCUACAAUGGUUGGUACAAUGGGCAUCUACCCCGAAAGGGGAAGGAAAUCUCUUAAAGCCAAUCGUAGUUCGGAUUGAGGGCUGCAACUCGCCCUCAUGAAGCUGGAAUCCGUAGCAAUCGCGUUUCAACAGAACGCGGUGAAUACGUCCCUGCUCCUU